rnacentral:rRNA from 1 species
UAGGGAAUCUUCGGCAAUGGGGGCAACCCUGACCGAGCAACGCCGCGUGAGUGAAGAAGGUUUUCGGAUCGUAAAGCUCUGUUGUAAGAGAAGAACGUGUGUGAGAGUGGAAAGUUCACACAGUGACGGUAACUUACCAGAAAGGGACGGCUAACUACGUGCCAGCAGCCGCGGUAAUACGUAGGUCCCGAGCGUUGUCCGGAUUUAUUGGGCGUAAAGCGAGCGCAGGCGGUUUAAUAAGUCUGAAGUUAAAGGCAGUGGCUUAACCAUUGUGCGCUUUGGAAACUGUUAAACUUGAGUGCAGAAGGGGGGAGUGGAAUUCCAUGUGUAGCGGUGAAAUGCGUAGAUAUAUGGAGGAACACCGGUGGCGAAAGCGGCUCUCUGGUCUGUAACUGACGCUGAGGCUCGAAAGCGUGGGGAGCAAACAGG